UGGGGAAUAUUGGGCAAUGGGCGAAAGCCUGACCCAGCAACGCCGCGUGAAGGAAGAAGGCCUUCGGGUUGUAAACUUCUUUGAACAGGGACGAAAGAAAUGACGGUACCUGAAAAACAAGCCACGGCUAACUACGUGCCAGCAGCCGCGGUAAUACGUAGGUGGCGAGCGUUAUCCGGAUUUACUGGGUGUAAAGGGCGUGUAGGCGGUUUUGUAAGUCGGAUGUGAAAUUCCCAGGCUUAACUUGGGAGCUGCAUCCGAAACUACAGAACUUGAGUACUGGAGAGGAUAGUGGAAUUCCUAGUGUAGCGGUAAAAUGCGUAGAUAUUAGGAGGAACAUCGAGUGGCGAAGGCGACUAUCUGGACAGUAACUGACGCUGAUGCGCGAAAGCGUGGGGA
rnacentral:rRNA from 1 species